CAAGGGGUCGAAAGAGGGGGUCUACUAGGAGAACAGGGGUUGAAAGACAGGGUCUCCAAGGAGAACAGGGGGUCUCCAAGGAGAACACGGGGUUGAAAGAGGGGGUCUCCAAGGAGAACAGGGGUUGAAAGAGGGGGAGAACAGGGGUCUCCAAGGAGAACAGGGGGUUGAAAGAGGGGGUCUCCAAGGAGAACAGGGGUUGAAAGAGGGGGUCUACUAGGAGAACAGGGGGUUGAAAGAGGGGGUCUCCAGGGAGAACAGGGGGUUGAAAGGAAGUGCGUCUUAGUCACCAGAUCUCAACCCAAUUGAACACUUCCGGGAGAUUCUGGAGUGGCCUCUUGAGACAGCGUUUUCCACCACCAUCAACAAAACACCAAAUGGUGGAAUUUCCCGUGGAAGAAUGGUGUCGCAUCCCUCCAGUAGAGUUCCAGACACGUCUUGAAUCUAUACCAAGGAGCACUUUUAACAUUUUUUUUAAACCUUUAUUUAACUAGGCAAGUCAGUUAAGAACAAAUUCUUAUUUUCAAUGACAGCCUACCAGGGAACAGUGGCUUAACUGCCUUGUUCAGGGGCAGAAUUUGUACCUUGUCAGCUCAGGGAUUAGAACUUGCAACCUUCCAGUUACUAGUCCAACGCUCUAACCACUAGGCUACCCUGCCGCCCCUACACUCUAACCACUAGGCUACCCUGCCGCCCCUACACUCUAACCACUAGGCUACCCUGCCACCCCUACACCCUAACCACUAGGCUACCCUGCCGCCCCUACACUCUAACCACUAGGCUACCCUGCCGCCCCUACACUCUAACCACUAGGCUACCCUGCCGCCCCUACACUCUAACCACUAGGCUACCUGCCGCCCUUACACUCUAACCACUAGGCUACCUGCCGCCCUUACACUCUAACCACUAGGCUACCUGCCGCCCCUACACUCUAACCACUAGGCUACCCUGCCGCCCCUACACUCUAACCACUAGGCUACCUGCCGCCCCUACACUCUAACCACUAGGCUACCUGCCGCCCCUACACUCUAACCACUAGGC
ensembl:lncRNA